rnacentral:rRNA from 1 species
GAACGAACGCUGGCGGCAGGCCUAACACAUGCAAGUCGAACGGUAACAGGAAGCAGCUUGCUGCUUCGCUGACGAGUGGCGGACGGGUGAGUAAUGUCUGGGAAACUGCCUGAUGGAGGGGGAUAACUACUGGAAACGGUAGCUAAUACCGCAUAACGUCGCAAGACCAAAGAGGGGGACCUUCGGGCCUCUUGCCAUCAGAUGUGCCCAGAUGGGAUUAGCUAGUAGGUGGGGUAACGGCUCACCUAGGCGACGAUCCCUAGCUGGUCUGAGAGGAUGACC